rnacentral:lncRNA from 1 species
GUAACACCCCUUACCCGAGACCGUUUCCGGAAUCGAGCACGAGGCAUUACUUAGCUUAUCUUACCAAUUCGGAGCAUAAAAACUAGGUUUGAAAAUUUAUUUCAUUAUUCGCAGCAAAUCUGUCUAAUCGCGCAGCAGUUACUAAAUUAAUUAUAACUUGAGCUACAGAACUCGAAAUUUAAUCCCGUAAAUUUUCCAUGAAACUAGACUCAUAUAUCUACUCACCAUAAAAUUUUUAGAAUUUUUGGUUCAGCAAAUUAGUACAGUUUAUUAGUUAAAGUCUCCCCUGUGUCACCACCAGACUGCCCUGACCUCUAGUCACUAAAAAUAAGUUUUCUCACUAUAGGAUUUUCAUAUGAAGUUCUUACUUGUUUCUAUAGAAAAUAGACUCAUUAAGAAAUCUAAGCAUGUAAAUUUCAACUCAUAAACAUUUUUGUACAAUUUUUUAUUAUUUUCUAAACUCAGAACAGGGGACUCCAAAAACAGUUCUGACCCUAUCUUACUAAAAUUCACAUAUCUUAAAAUAUAAAUUUCUUUUUUUCUACACCGUUAUUUUUCCAUGAAAAUAGACUCAACAAGCUUUAAUUCCAUAUAUCAUUCACCCUCUAAUUCAUUUUAUACUAUCUUGGGUGAUUUUUCAAAUUCACGUCACUGUGCUGCCUGAAUUCUGUUUCUUUGCAAAAUUUUAUCCUUUCAUGAUUUCCAUGCAUAAUUUAUCACCUAAUAUUUCAUAACAACAAACACCUUCAUCCUUAAUCAUUUUAAUAACCAUACAUCAUCAAAUACUUACACAUCACUCAUUAGCAAAAUCAUCACUACAAACAUACAAAAUAACUAAAUUCCUAUACAUGCCAUAACUUAAACGUGUUUCGAUAUAAAAUACCGAGCAGUUGUAGUUGAUAGUGUGGACGAUCUCCGACUUCUUUAGGAUCCUUGAAGUAGCUUUGCAAUACUAUAAGAGAAAGAAAUAAAAGAAGUAAGCAUAAAGCUUAGUAAGUUUACUAGCAAAUAAAUAACAAUAUUUAACUUAAAUAAUUAAACUCAAUGUCUAUAUCUCUAGUUUACUCUUUAGUUAAUCUCAUACUAGUUCUCUUACUUGUUUACUUAGAAUAUUUGUGUGCAUAACUUACUCAAUCCUUGCUGCAUCGUUGAACAUCAAUUGAUAGUAUAAUAAGUUCUUAAGUCUUACAACUUACCUGAGCUUGCCAUUUAUGCUUUAAAAACAUGAUUCGUUUACAAGCCCGUUGAACUACAUUGGAAUAAUAAGGAUACUCGGGUCUCUUCUGAUAAUAACAUGCCAAAGCCAUGUCCCAGACAUGGUCUUACAUGGGAUGUUCUCGUGAUGGUGCCCAUGCCAUGUCCCAAACAUGGUCUUAUAGGGGACCUCUCAUCUCGGUGCCAACGCCAUGUCCCAGACAUGGUCUUACAUGGGACCUCUCGUCUCGGUGCCCAUGCCAUGUCCCAGACAUGGUCUUACAGGGGACCUCUCAUGAUCUUAAGGAUGCCAAUGCCAUGUCCCAGACAUGGUCUUACAUGGGAUCUCUUUACCCAAAUGUCAUGACAUUCGUAUCCAGUACCAUCCUUAUGUAUCAACGGGACUUUUAAAUUUUAAUUCUCUAUCAUUUCAUGCUUGGAUCAUCAUCAAAUAAAUUCAUAAAAUAAAUUCAUAAUUGCUGGAAAUUAACAGCAUUAAUAAUAAAUAUUGAAAUAUUGCAUUUAUUUACCGUAAACUUACCUCGGUACCAAUUAUAGCCAAAUUCACCAACUUAGUCUUCAACUUUAUUCUUCCCUUUGUCUAACCUCGAGUUUCGUACUUCUUGAUCUAAAAUAGUAAAUUUAACUUAUUUAAUAAUCACAUUCAUCAAAAUAGCCCUCGACUCUAACUUUUUCAAAAUUACAAUUUUGCCCCUAAACUUUUACAUAAUUACAUUUUUGCCCCAAGGCUCGGAAAUUAAACUUCAUCUCUUAUUCUUAUGUUUUAUAACAUUCUGAACAUUUUUCCCUUCUAUGGCAACAUCAAAUUCUAAUUUAAUCCCUUAUCAAUACUAAUUUUAUUUUUGCAUUCUAACUCUAUAUUCUCUCUUAAUUCUUACUAUAAAGUCAAUUUAAUUCCUCAAUUUCACCAUAAAUCCCUAAUUUCGGGAUUCUUUCAAUUUAAUCCCUAUCGAUUCAAAACUUAUAUUUUAUUUUACAAUUACGUUCUUUACUAACUUCUAACUUGAAAUUAAAUCAAUUUAACCCCUAACUAAACCUAUAUAUUUUUCUUUCUCAAUUCAUACCCUUAUUCUACCCAAUUUCUUGCUAAACUCAUAUUUAACUAUUUAAUUUUUAUCAUGUUUUCAUAAUUCCGAAUUUAUUUCAAAUUAAUCCCUAAAAUUCAAAACUUAUAGUUUAGUUUACAAUUCAAUCCUUUAUUCAAUUCCAAUCAAAAUUUCUAUCAAAUACAUCCCUAAUUUAACAAUUUAUUCAACAUGAACCAUGCUUAAUAAUCUACUAACUUCCAAAAUUUCAACUUAAUCAAGUAGUAUUUUGUUCUAGGAUUUCAAAAAAAAUAUCAAAAUUAAGAGAAAAUGGGAUUAAAUUGACUUACCAAAUUACUUUGAACCUUAAAACCCCAAAUUUCCCUUUUUCUUUUCUUUUCUUUCUUUCUUUCUUUCCUUCCUUCCUUCUCUGUUUCGUUUUGCUCUCUGUUUCUUUCUUUCUCCCUUCUCUGUUUUGUUUUGCUCUCUGUUUCUUUUCUUUCUUUCUUUGUCAUAUAUAUAAUAAUAUAAUAAUAUAAUAUAAUAUAAUAUAUUAAUAAUAAUAUAAUAUAAAAACAUAAUUAUUACUUACGCAUGUAUAAUAUAAUAUAUAUUUUAA